rnacentral:lncRNA from 1 species
AUGGACAGGAGGACGGAGCAGAGGGGCAGGAAGGGGCCUGGCCCCACAUUGCACACCUCGUGCUGCUGUGGUGGGCUCUCCCCAUAUCCCCAAGAACCUUUCUGGGCUGAAGCAUCUCAGAGCUGCCAGGGCAAUCUGUCAGAAGACCUGAGUGAUGGUGCUGCACCUUUCCUGUCUGACAGCAGAACCCGCUGUCCCACCAGGAGUUCCACAUGCAGCCAGUUGAGGUCACAUCAAAAAAGACAGCAUAGAAGCAGACUGCAAAGCAAAUCAGCCUCUGGAAGAAGCUUGCCACAGGAGAGACAAGAAGGAACUUCAAGUCCAGCCGCCAACUCAGGGCUCCUCAGGAACUUACCCUCCACUUCCAGCAUGGAGGACCUCUCCACAACCCUGAUGGAGUCCUUGGACACCACACAAAUCUGCCUCAGCCUGCUGGCCAAAAUGGAAAAAAACAAUGACAGCGGUGCUCAAAGGACACGCGGGAGCUACAGGAGCAAAUACCCCGUCUGCAUGCAGUGCUGUCGGUGCCUGGACAACAGCUGCCCACACCACAGCACCUCCUCAGCCACUGCAGCCACGGCCAUGCUGACUGCCUUGAUCUUCUCCCUGGAUGUGAUGGUGCAGGAGGAGAAGGUAAAGCUGAAGGUUGGGUUGCUCUUUGAGCUGUCCAACAGUGGAAAGACAUUGCAUGCAUGGGGGAAAAACGUGUGGCUGCCCAAAUGUUGUGGCAGUGAGGAAUACUGCGAGGAGUGUGGAGAGCCUCUGCCCAGAAGUCCCAAAAACUGGGGGAUGCAACAAGGGGAGUCCUCCCUUCCCACCACAGCUCCCGUCUGGCCCUUGCCCCCAUGGGCACAGCCAAUUCCCCCAGAUGCCCUGGAAAGGUUGCAGAGAGCGGGGGUGGAGCCCAUGCCCCAGGUGGAGUACAGGGGCCUGGGGCACAGCAGCACAACGCAGUGCCUCCUCUGCUUCUGGUGGAAGAUGAAGAGCAAAGUGAAGAACCUGAACAAAGUGGGGGCAGCUGAGGGCAGCAGACAGAUCAGCAUCUGA